GCCGGUGUAGCUCAGUGGUAGAGCAACUGUCUUGUAAACAGUAGGUCGUCGGUUCGAUCCCGACCACCGGCUCCA
rnacentral:tRNA from 1 species